rnacentral:rRNA from 1 species
AUGGACGGCGGCGGCGUGCGGCCAGCGCUCCAGCCCGCGGCGGCCGGAGGAGGGGCGUCGGGCAGCCCGGACGAGCCCCGCGACGCGCGCGUGGUGCGGGAGCUCCUCCGCUCCAUGGGGCUCGGCGAGGGCGAGUACGAGCCGCGCGUCGUGCACCAGUUCCUCGACCUCGCCUACCGCUACGCCGGGGACGUGCUCGGCGACGCCCAGGUCUACGCCGACCACGCCGGCAAGCCCCAGCUCGACGCCGACGACGUCCGCCUCGCCAUCCAGGCCAAGGUCAACUUCUCCUUCUCCCAGCCGCCGCCCCGCGAGGUUCUACUCGAGCUGGCACGCAGCCGGAACAAAAUCCCGCUGCCCAAGUCCAUUGCUCCACCCGGCUCCAUUCCUCUGCCACCUGAACAGGACACCUUGCUGAGCCAGAACUACCAGCUCCUACCUGCAUUGAAGCCGCCAACUCAGACCGAGGAAGCAGAAGAUGAGGAAGAGGGCGCCAACGCAGACGGUGCCAGCCCUAACCCAAACUCCUCGCAGGAUCAGAGGGGCAACGAGCAGCAGCAGCAGCAGCCUCAGAGCCAGAGCCAGGGCCAGAGGGUUUCUUUCCAGCUGAACGCCGUGGCCGCCGCAGCUGCAAAGCGUCCCCGAAUGACGAUUGAUCAGCUGAACAUGGGCUGA